UUUGAUCCUGGCUCAGAACGAACGUUGGCGGCGUGGAUUAGGCAUGCAAGUCGAGGGAAUCCCAGCAAUGGGGGAACCGGCGUAAGGGGCAGUAAGGCAUGGGUACCUACCCUGAAGUUCGGGAUAGCCAUCAGAGAUGGUGGGUAAUACCGGAUGAUGUCGUGAGACCAAAGAUUUAUCGCUUUGGGAGGGGCCCAUGUGAUAUUAGCUAGUUGGUGAGGUAACGGCUCACCAAGGCAAAGAUGUCUAGCGGGUAUGAGAGUACGACCCGCGCCACUCGCACUGAGACACUGGCGAGACACCUACGGGUGGCUGCAGUCGAGGAUCUUCGGCAAUGGGCGAAAGCCUGACCGAGCGACGCCGCGUGCGCGAUGAAGGCCUCCGGGUUGUAAAGCGCUUUAGUGGGGGAGAAAAGGGCAACCUUGAUCUAUCCCAAAAAUAAGCUCGGGCUAAGUUCGUGCCAGCAGCCGCGGUAAGACGAACCGAGCGAACGUUGUUCGGAAUCACUGGGCUUAAAGGGCGCGUAGGCGGGCUGUCAAGUCUGGGGUGAAAUCCCGCGGCUCAACCGUGGAACUGCCUCAGAUACUGACGGCCUCGAGGGAGGUAGGGGCGAGCGGAACUGUGAGUGGAGCGGUGAAAUGCGUUGAUAUUCACAGGAACUCCGGUGGCGAANGCGGCUCGCUGGACCUUUUCUGACGCUGAGGCGCGAAAGCUAGGGGAGCAAACGGGAUUAGAUACCCCGGUAGUCCUAGCCCUAAACGUUGGGUACUGGGUAG
rnacentral:rRNA from 1 species